rnacentral:lncRNA from 1 species
CUGAGAACCAGAAUAUUAGGGAUCUCACUAACUAUUGGGUAUGUUUUCUUAGAAGUCAAGUUUGUCUCUGUAUAAAGCCAAUAUGAUAUAAUCACAUACUUUGGAGUAUACAUACAUCUCUGAUCAGCCUGAGUUGGAGUCUUUUGGUUGUUCCGGCUGUUUAUAAACUGUUUUGAAGAAUUUGCUUUAAAAUCAUUUGGAUUCUUAUAAAAAGGGACUGGAAAGAUUUGAAAAAAAAAAGGUCUUCAUAACAUUUUCCAACUCAGAAGACACUGGUUAUACUAGAAGAGUGAGCAUCUUUUACCAAAUAAUUUAGUGUCAAGAAAUUUCACUCUAAGCCACAAGUGGCCUUAAGAUAGGACAGGUGAACUUUCAUCAUGGUGGAACAAGAGCCUGAAAAUUAGAAAGCCUUCUGCUGAGGCCAUAGGAUGGAAUCUAAAGCUUCUCUGUAUCUUCAGUUUUGAAAAAUCAGAAGAAAGACUUUGAAAGCACUAAGAAUUUUAUAUCAAACAAUGAGUCUUGUCUGAUGCAUCUACCAAACCUUUGCCUGACAUUCAUGAUAUUGUUUUCUGUUAAUUAAGUUUGAUAAUAAAAAUUUUCAUUACUUCAUGUAAUCCUAGUCAUUUGGUAUCAGAAAAACUAAAUAAACUACAAACUUGCCAUUCAUUCCUAUCGAUAGACAGGGAACUUGGUUGUAAAGUGCAGAUGCAAAAUGAGCUACUGGAAUAUAAAGUCUGAUGAAGUGGGAGACAUGGUGUAGACGCACAUGGCCUUCCAUAUGUGAAAGAGGAGACUUGCCCAGAGGGAGAAAGCAGGAAGAAGCCAGAGUGAAGGUCUCUAAGCAGUGAUCCAAGUAACAACCUAGACUAGAAGAAAGAGAAAAUCUUCUCUAGGCAUAAAAAACAGUGUAAUAGGUAAGUGCUUAGAGGCAAUUAAUACUGUCAAUAAAGGCUGGUUUAGGAGUAUCAGGUAUUGUAAAAAGAAUCUGGGGCCCAACACAUAUGAGAAAGAACCUAAGCAAAAUGUGUAAAAGUAAGCUUUCAGACAAUGGAGCACAUUGUAAUUAAGUUUUCAAAGCAUAUCUGACUUGUAUGUAAAAUUUUUGUUUUUUGGUUUGCUUCAAAUGCCAGCUCUGAUCAGGAAUGUUAAGCUGCUUACAUACAAAA